GCACCAGUGGUCUAGUGGUAGAAUAGUACCCUGUUACGGUACAGACCCGGGUCGAUUCCCGGCUGGUGCA
rfam:Ipomoea nil DNA, scaffold: scaffold1421, cultivar: Tokyo-kokei standard.